rnacentral:lncRNA from 1 species
CCCUAGGUCCUAACUUAGAAAAUGAGGUCAAGGUCAAAGGUCAAGGUCAAGUUCUCAAUUGUGACUUUUGCUUGUUUUUGCAUUUUCUCUGACACUUUGAAAGAUACAUAUAAAAGAACAAGUGCAAAAUGUCUGCUUUAUUGUAAUGAAGAUAUGCUACAUUUAGUCUUAUACAAUUAAAUGGCAUCUUAUAGGAGUUGUGCCCCUGAAAUGUCUUGAUAUGAGGUUAUUUGAUUAUAACUUCAAGUAAGUUCAUUAUAAAGACAUUUGACCUGAUACAAAAGGUUAAGUGACAAAUGACCUUGAAAAAUGGCUACCGGAAGUGACCUUGAGAAAACCGGAAGUAGCUUUUUUUGCAAUUUUUUCACAUAAAAGUACUCAGAAU